GGUAGAGCCUCCGGACCUGGUGGCCGGCUCGGUCUUCAAAACCGAUGAGAGGCUGUGAGAGCAGUCUCUGGUGAGUUCGAUUCUCAUGCUCUACCGCCA
rnacentral:tRNA from 2 species